rnacentral:lncRNA from 1 species
UCCCAGGUGAUGCUGAGGCUGCUGGUCUGAGAGCUACAUCUGGAGCUGCAAGACGCUAAAGGCUCCUUGCCCCUUUACCUUGUCUCUUGUGUUGUAAAAGAGAAGACAUGGGCCUUGGAGCAGAUGGACAGGGUUUGAAUCCCACCUUUGCCACUUCCUAGCUUGGUGAAAUUAGACCCUGGUUCUUUGUGUGUAAAAUGGAGGCCUGAUACUUACCUCGCAAGUUUCUGAAAUCCUGAGGCAGAGUUAAGUGUGCAGGCUUUGCCCAGAGGACGCCUUGGGCUGAAUCUUGUCCUUCCCGCUUGCUAACUGUGUGACCUCAGGUGAGGUGACUUAAGCUCUCAACCUCAGAUUCUUCAUCUGUAAAAUGGAGUUAUAAUCACUAACUCGCAGGAUUGUUGUGAGAACUAAGCAAGGCAAACCUAUGAAGCCCUCGGAUCAGUGGUUGACACACAGCAAACCCGCCAUGAGUGUUUGCUACUAUUAUUCUUCUCAUUGGACAGAGGUGCAACCUGAGGCGCAGAGAGUAAAGUAACACCCACGUCCGUGCUCUCUCUCCAUCACGCAGGUGUUUCUGGGGAGUUGUCAAUCAAGAUUCCUGGCCCCAGCCCUCAGCAUCAAGGAUAGGAAUAAGAAGGAUGCGUGAGGCCCAAGCAGAGAAAAUCCACUGAAAUUUGGAUGCUGGGAGGAAGAAGUUUUGUGAUAUUUUUAUCUUUUCUGUUGAUAUUGUUGGACAUCUGAAGCUGUGGCAGGAAUAGCUUUCUGUAGAAUGAAACCAAGCAGAGAGAAGAAAAGUCAAGAGACCAAUGAAGAGAGGUCUAUGGCAGUGGUUCUCAGCCUUGGUUGCACGUUGGAGUCACUGGGGAGCUUUAAAAACAACUGACGUCUGGGUCCAGCCCCAGUAAUUUUUAUUUGAUUGGUCUGAGUUGCAGCCUGGGCCUUGGGACUUUCAAAGCCCCCUGGAGGAUUCUUACGGGCAGCCAAGGAUGUGAACUGCUUGUCUAGCGACACCACAUCAGGUCCCCGAGGCCUUGGUUCCAGCAGCUCUUCCUAAUUCUGUAACCCAUCUUGGUGCCCUCAGUGUCAAUAACUUUCCUUUUUUUGCUUAAUUAAGAUUGAAUUGAAUUUCUGUCAUUUGCGGCCAAAAGAAAUCUAACCAAAAAACAAAGACUGUAAUCAUAGCUAACAUCUAUUGAGCAUCAGGGAUGUGCUGGGGAGUUUGAAGUGCUUUACUUAUAUGAUCUCAUUUAAUUUAAUCUUUACAACAUCCUCAGAG